UUUACUUAAUUUUGUCACCCCGAACCUAAUUUUGUCACUUGAAGAUUGUGCAAAAAGUAACCGUUUCUCGGUAUUUUAGACUACCUGGAUGCAUCAUUCGAGCGCUUUUUUUACCAACAUUGACCUCAAAAAUCCCAAAGAUAUGAUGUUUUCAUAGUUUUGUAGCUUGAUGAAAAGAUGACACUUUUUGGGUAUCUAAUCUUAGAAAAUAGCCCCCAAAUGCCCCUGAAACCACUGGCAUCUUGAAAACUUUCUAUGAAGCAUGAAUCAAUAUUGGUUACUGAUUCACGAAACUAUAUUUACCAAUAGCUCUUUAAAACCCAGAAUUACAGUAUAUUUCUCGGCGAAAAUAUGCUAUUAUAAGUGUUUAAAUGCUAUUAUAAGUGCCUUAUACAUAUCCUAUGGGCAAAAAAACUUCAGAAUAGUUGUAUAAGGCCAUUUUCAACACAAUCUGUGAUUUACAAGAAAUUUGAGAAAGGUCGAUUUUUUUGACAAAAUUAGGUACUUUUGGCAAAAUCGAACCUAAUUUUGUCACCCUCUGUAACUCUAACAAUAAUUGCGCUAGAGACUUGAAAAUUUGUACGUAUACUUCUGCUGUAGAAGAUAUUUGAAAUAUGCAAUGGCAUGAAGCUAGCUCAAUUACUUUUGAAAUAGCAAUAAAUCAAAAUUUUGAAAAUUCCUUAAGAAAACUUUAAGGAUCUUAUUUAUUUUUCGGGUUAACAGUUUCGCCUUCAUUUUUGACACAGAUGCAAAAGAGCUAGAAACUUAAACUUUGUAGGAGCAGUUUCAGCAAAGUCUAAGCUUUCUUUUUAUACACAAACCUUUUCUUUCAAGCUGAAAUUCCGAGCCGAGGCAGUUUUUCAGAGCAAAAUGACAAAAUUAGGUACCCUGACAAAAUUACGUGCCUUACCCUAUUUCAAAAUCAUCUCUUAGUUAGUAUUAGUAUUAAGUGACAUGAAAAAUUUGUCCUGUGAAACUGUCAACUCUAUUUUUUCACGUAUUUAACUUCAGACUACGAGGUUGAAGAAGGCAUGAUUUUCACGCUACACUGUAAUUCCCACGCCUUCCUGGACAUCACUUCUGUUAGAUAUUACUACCCAAACCUUUCAUUAUUAUGCUAUGACCCCAGAGCUUACUCUGUUACUGUCAGCCAUUGCAACAACAGAUUUCACUGUACAAUCGACACAACUCCUGGUUCAUUUUACCAAAAUUCCUGCGAUUACUCUUGGUAUUCGAAUAUGCUAGAGGUAGUAUUUUUAUUAAAUUAUACAUUAGGGUAACACUAACAGUAAGAUAACUUAAACUACGCACCGCAGUAGUUUUGUGGAAUUUUUCAUGUAUAUGAGAUUUUCGGAAGCUUUAUUUAGCUAUUUAGAGUACCAAAAAGUCCAAAUAUUACCGAUUUAAUCGAACAUCGUCCAUCAGUACAACUUUUUAACUCCUCAGGUGCACUAUGAUUGCAGCACCUGUGAAGAAGGUCACUACUUUUCACCUGGGUUAGGAUGCAGGGUGUGUGAAGAGAGCACUUUCAGUCCCGGUGGGGUUCACUCCAACUGUGCACCCUGUCCUACUGGGAAAACUGUUCAGUCUGGUCUGGGAUCUUCCUUGGGUGACUGCACAUGGAGUCCUUGCAGUGGUGGUGAAUAUCUUGACCAACAUACUGGGUGCCAGAACUGUGGGGAGUCGACUUACAGUUCCGGAGGAACAGCGACCUCCUGUGUGGGGUGUCCUGAGGGUACGUAUGUAGCAGCAGGACAAGGAAGCUUGGAGACAGACUGCUUUGAUAACAGCGACAGCAGGAAAGAAGGAAGAGACAGACUUUUGCCGCGUACGUUAAAUUUUCUAAUUUUACGAAUGAAAAGGAUUCCCAGAAAUUUUAAAUGCAAAGCAGUCUCGAGGCUGGCUGCUUUGUCUUCAUAAUUUCUGUCAUAACAUAAUAUCAGUAUCAAAAAGUUUGACGAAGGACAAAAACCAAGGUUAAUUGCUUUUUUGGUGAUUUUACGCGGUAUAUUUAAAUUUUUAUUCAUUUUUGAUACGGUAAUAAUUUAUUAAUACUGUUGAUCGCUGUAUUACCGCCAGUACGACAUAACUUAAUGAAAUUUAAAGCUAUCCAUUGAUUUUAAAUAUGAUUUGGGCCAAGAUUUUUCUAUUCUUACCCCAAAUAAGUCACUAAAAAAACAAGUUGAAUAUUUACAAUUCUAUUUAUUUAAGCAAUAACAAAUUAAAAAGCGGACAUAUUUAUUUUUAUUUAUAACA